AUUGAACGCUGGCGGCAGGCCUAACACAUGCAAGUCGAGCGGAUGACGGGAGCUUGCUCCUUGAUUCAGCGGCGGACGGGUGAGUAAUGCCUAGGAAUCUGCCUGGUAGUGGGGGGCAACGUUUCGAAAGGAACGCUAAUACCGCAUACGUCCUACGGGAGAAAGCAGGGGACCUUCGGGCCUUGCGCUAUCAGAUGAGCCUAGGUCGGAUUAGCUAGUUGGUGGGGUAAUGGCUCACAAAGGCGACGAUCCGUAACUGGUCUGAGAGGAGGAUCAGUCACACUGGAACUGAAAAACGGUCCAGACUCCUACGGGAGGCAGCAGUGGGGAAUAUUGGACAAUGGGCGAAAGCCUGAUCCAGCCAUGCCGCGUGUGUGAAGAAGGUCUUCGGAUUGUAAAGCACUUUAAGUUGGGAGGAAGGGCAGUAAGUUAAUACCUUGCUGUUUUGACGUUACCGACAGAAUAAGCACCGGCUAACUCUGUGCCAGCAGCCGCCGUAA
rnacentral:rRNA from 1 species